UAACCUGGUUGAUCCUGCCAGUAGCAUAUGCUUGUCUCUGAGACUAAGCCAUGCAUGUCUAAGUAUAAACAUCUUUGUACUGUGAAACUGCGGACGGCUCAUUAAAUCAGUUACAAUCUACUUGAUCGUAUACUUUAUUCGGAUAACCCUAGUAAUUCUAGAGCUAAUACGUGCAAAAAACUCUGACUUCAGCAAUGGGGAAGGGGUGUAUUUAUUAGGAUAAAAACCACUCAGCUUCGGCUGUUUUUGACGAAUCACAAUAACUUAGCAAAUCGUAGACCACGUCUGCGAUGCUUCAAACGAGUUUCUGACCUAUCAACUUUAGAUGGCAAAGUAGGGGUUUGCCAUGGUGACAACGGGUGACGGGGAAUUAGGGUUCGAUUCCGGAGAGGGAGCCUGAGAAACGGCUACCACUUCCAAGGAAGGCAGCAGGCGCGCAAAUUACCCAAUACUGAUUCGGUGAGGUAGUGACAAGAAAUACCAAUGGCGGACCUUAUGGGUACGUCGUUUGGAAUGAGUACAAUUUAAAAACCUUAACGAGGAACAAUUGGAGGGCAAGUCUGGUGCCAGCAGCCGCGGUAAUUCCAGCUCCAAUAGUGUAUAUUAAAGUUGCUGCGGUUAAAAAGCUCGUAGUUGGAUUGCGGAGAUGUCUUAGGGUGGGCUUGGGGUUCACGCAUCCUUCGGGGUGCUGGGUUCCUUGUUCAUUUCUUUGGCAAUUGUUUCCACCAGAGUCUACCAAGAUCUUCUUGGUUUGUACUGGGUGGUUACCUCCUAUUUUUUGUUAGCAAGGUGGUUUCGGCCAUUGUUGUUUACACAUUGUUUACUUUGAAAAAAUUAGAGUGUUCAAAGCAGGCGUAACCUGGCAUCAUGAAUACAUUAGCAUGGGAUAAUAGAAUAUGACUUGUGGUCUUAUUUUGUUGGUUUCUAAGGCCACGGUAAUGAUUGAAAGGGAUAGUUGGGGCUGCUCGUAUUGAAUAGUCAGAGGUGAAAUUCUAGGAUUUAUUCAAGACGAACUAAUGCGAAAGCAUUCAGCAAGGAUGUUUUCAUUAAUCAAGAACGAAAGUUGGGGGAUCGAAUAUCUUCAGUCCCUAAAAGCACAAAGAUGCUAGUGAGGCAAAAGAGAGCUCGCGACACUAUUAAAUUGCAGGGAGUACCUAAAACUUAGACUACCAAGUCAAUAAGGAGACUUAUUGAUGGCCAGACACGUCUGGGUACGGUGAUAAUGUCUAGGAUAAAUGGUUAAUCUGCAGCCAAGCCCUAAAAAGGGUGCAGUUCACAGACUAGAUAUUAGUGGGUACUCAAAAGGAGUACAUAAGAUAUAGUCGGUCCACUGUCGAAAGGCAGUACUCUGGACAAAGGAGCAAAGACUCCCAGAAUCCAGAGUUAUUUUAAAGGGGUAAACGCGAAGAUGAUCAGAUACCGUCGUAGUCUCAACCAUAAACUAUGUCAGCCGAGGAUUUGGUAGCGUUACAUGGAUGACCUUCCAGGCACUCUGUGAGAAAUCAUAAGCAUUUGGAUUUCGGGGGGAGUAUGGUCGCAAGGCUGAAACUUAAAGGGAUUGACGGAAGGGCACCACCAGGAGUGGAAUCUGCGGCUUAAUUGACUCAACACGGGGAAACUUACCAGGUCCGGACACAGUGAGGAUUGACAGAUUGAGAGCUCUUUCUUGAUUUUGUGGGUGGUGGUGCAUGGCCGUUUUUAGUUGGUGGAGUAAUUUGUCUGGUUAAUUCCGUUAACGAACGAGACCUUAACCUAUUAAAUAGUGAUGCCAACCCAGGUCUUUUAACCUUGUCUCUUUCGGGGGAUGGGGUACCAUCUUGUUGUCUCUUUCGGGGGGCAGCUUGGUGGUAAGGCCUGAUUUAUGUUAGUAAUAUCGCUUCUUAGAGGGACUCUUUGCAUCUUUAGCAAAUGGAAGUUUUAGGCAAAAACAGGUCUGUGAUGCCCUUCGAUGUUCUGGGCUGCACGCGCGUUACACUGAUGCAUGCAACGAGUUUUCUUCCUGGCCCGAUGGGGUUGGGUAAUCUUUUUAAAUUGCAUCGUGAUGGGGAUAGAGCAUUGCAAUUAUUGCUCUUGAACGAGGAAUUCCUAGUAAUCGCAGGUCAUCAACCUGCGAUGAUUACGUCCCUGCCCUUUGUACACACCGCCCGUCGCUCCUAGACUAAUGCUUCUAGGGAGUAAAAGGGUUAUUAACCCUAGCCGGCAUAUGUCUGAUAUAUCCCUUGAUUAAGAAUUUUGUUCUCUGUGCACAUGACAUCACUUUUUAUUACUAGUUAUGAUAUUGAUUUGGUAGCUCCCUUCUGGACAAGCUAUUUGCUUGGCAAUAAGGGAAUGCACACCCUUAAUGGCAACAUGGAUUUAGAUUCAGAUGAGACUCUCUCUGAAGACGUUUCUGAAGACGUUUCUGAAGAGGAUUCUGAAGAACCUGAAUCUUAUUUUGUGGUGAAACCAGAGUCAUUUGAUGACAAGGGGUACAUAUAAGCUAUUGUCAUUAAUUUCUAGUAAUGAUGAGCAUCACUUCCUGAUGUUUUAUGAGCCGUCAGAGUUACAAGAGAUUCUUGAUAAAAAAGUCACUGGCAAAACUGAAAUUGUCUCAACUAAAAUUGACUUCUGCCCUGGUAAUUUUAUGACAGCAGAAGACUUUUGGAAACUUCCAUCUUAUGGUGUUGCAAGUGCAGAUCACUUUUGUGCUGAAGAAGGCACUGAAUUAUCUGGACAGUUCUGGAAGGAGUACAUAUCCUGUAAGAUCAUGAAAUCAGGGAAAUCAGGACAGUUUGAGAUAUCAGUACCACCAAAAAAUAUUGACGCUGAAAAAUGGUGGGCCUAUGUAAGCAGUCGAAAACAGAAAAAGGACACAGAUGAAGAGGAAGAAAGGCCAAAAAAGAGGGCCAAAAAAGAGAACAGUUCUGUUGUGAAAAAGCCAAAAAGGAACCCCAACAGAAAUCGGUUCACUGUCCGACCUCAUGUUGUCCAAUACCGCAUCUCAAAUCCUGGAGUUGCGAUGUCUUCGAGUGCUGGUGACGGAAAAAAGGGAGUGUCACAUCUAUGUGACAAUGGAUACUGUUAUGAACCUUCUCAUCUUGAUGAGGACAUAAGUCAAAAACUCAAUGAAUCACGGAAAGGCUGUGUUGGUAUCACUAUUCUUGUUCAUACUGUAAAAUAUGAUGGGGGAUUGCACAGAAGAAUAGUAUCUGACAAGCCAUGCAGACAUCAUGAAGCAGGUCAUAGUGCCUGUACACGCCUCUUUGUCAUUGAAAUUUCAGUUGAAGACUCAAAAAGGAUUAAGGAACAUCGAAGCAUUGAUCUUGAUGUUGCUGUUGCUCAGGACAAAGACAUUGAGCUUGAUCCUGUUGAGGACAUUGAGUUUGAUGAUGAUGAUGAUGUUGAGCUUGAUCCUGUUGAGGAGAUUGACUAUGAUGAGUGAUGUCCGAGUUAAAUAAACAUAUUUAACUUAAAUUGAGUGAUUUUUCAUAACAGACCAAUUCAGACAUGCUGACAACACAUCUGGUUGCGGGAAAGCCUUUAGUCACACUCAGUACCACCCUUUCAUGGUGACAUGUUAGGGGAACACAGUUAAAUACUGUUCACAAUGGUUAUAAUCUAGUGUGUGAGGUAAUCCGCAGGCAAGUUACUUGGUUGGUACACUCAACCAAGUAACUGCUUCAACGACUGCAAAGAUGUGGGUUGGUUUACUACAACCAGCUUAAGGUACAGUCUACUCCCAUCUGUUAAGGAUGAUGCUUAAAAUAAAGCAUAGGCGUUUGAGAUUGAAGAGGAAAUGCUUCAGUUGAGCCUGGUAUUAAGGACCGAUGGUUGAACCGAUGAGGACUCGGGAUUGCUGUAUGCUUGUCGGUCGAAAGGUCGAUAACUAUGGUAAGAACUUGUUCAAAUCUUU
rnacentral:rRNA from 1 species